AGCUCAGGAGACACUCAGUUUGGAUUAAGAGAUCUUUUGCCAGGACACCCAUCAGAAGCAGGAGGCCAUGAGCCAGGAGGUGCUGGAUUAGAAUUAGAAGCCAGGAAACUGUGAGUUCUAUCCUAGCUGUAGGCACCAAAGCCAGCUGCCUGAUUUUGGACUGGUCUCCGCCUCUCAAUCCCAAGAGCCAGAAUCAAAUAAUGCCGAAGGUUAUUCCCUCUCAGCUGUGGAAAUUCCCUGGCGGGAGGCAGGGCUAGUCCUCCCUUAGCCCUAGGAAGCUCUUCCCAAAGAUGCUGCCAAGAAAGCUGUAUAGUCUUGUCUCUGAGUUGCCAGAAGUUGAGGCUGCCUCCAAGGCAGACCCACAGAAAAUUAUUUGGUUCCUAGUCAGGCUUGUUCCCCAUUAUUCACCUUCUCUUUGCUCUCCUGUGCCAAGAUUCCUGUGGUGUGUGUGUGGGUGUGUGUGUGCGCGCAUCUUGAUUAUUGCAGGGUGCAAAAUCCCAUUUCUCCCCUCCCACUCGCCCCCAAGGGAAAGAUGUUUCCAGAAGGGUUCUGCUGACACAGGAUGAUGGGCCUCUACUUGCAUGGCUGUCAGAACAAGGGAGAUCUCGGAAACGGUUUCCGAUGGGAAGGUUAUGAAAACAGUCACUUAGGUAAUGUCUUGGUUGACAUGAAACUCAUAGAUGUAAAAGAUACUUUGCCUGUCGGCUUCAUCCCAAUUCAAGAGACUAUGGAUACAC